rnacentral:rRNA from 1 species
CUACGGGGGGCAGCAGUGGGGAAUAUUGGACAAUGGGGGAAACCCUGAUCCAGCAAUGCCGCGUGUGUGAAGAAGGCCUGCGGGUUGUAAAGCACUUUCGGUUGGGAGGACUGCUUCUAGCACUAAUAUUGUUGGAAGUUGACGUUACCUUCAGAAGAAGCACUGGCUAACUCCGUGCCAGCAGGCCGCGGUAAUACGGAGGGUGCAAGCGUUAAUCGGAAUUACUGGGCGUAAAGCGCGCGUAGGCGGCUAGAUCAGUCGGGUGUGAAAGCCCCGGGCUUAACCUGGGAACUGCAUCCGAUACUGUCUAGCUUGAGUACAGGAGAGGAGAGUGGAAUUCCACAUGUAGCGGUGAAAUGCGUAGAUAUGUGGAGGAACACCAAUGGCGAAGGCAGCUCUCUGGCCUGAUACUGACGCUGAGGUGCGAAAGCGUGGGGAGCAAACAGGAUUAGAUACCCUCGUAGUC